GGAAAAUCCGUGUCCUGGCUUAUUCUCAGCUGUAUUCCAGUCAGUCUGUUGUUUCCCGUGCCACCUGGACUGCAGUAUCAUUUCUGUUGUCUACAAGCAUUCUCGGCCUCAGGCAGGGGAGUCUCAAAUUCCUGACUACUUCCCCAGAGGAAAAGCAGAGGCCUGUUACGUGGAAAACUCCAGGCUAGGCUUGAGAAGAUGCAAGAAUGAAAAAAGACUUUUCCCUGAAGAAGCAAAAUGUGUUCCUUCCAAAUGGCUACAUGGCUGAAUUGACUGAUGAUGAGGAGAUUGACAGUUUGUGCUGAGUCCCAGGUGGGAGUAUCGUGAAAUUAGUCCAGCAGGAGCUGAGCAGAGCUUAACUCAUUCAUACAUUGCAGAAGAGAGAGAGGUCCACAGUGUGGGAGGAAAAGAGACUGACAGAAAGUCAGAGGAACCAAGGGAGAGGCACUCAGAGCCUCGGAGAAGUUGAACUUUGGUCUGCUCUAUGGUCAGAAGGUUAGCAGGUUAGUAGGACUGAGAUAAUGGUCUUUCGGUCUGAGUCAUUCUCUUGACUUGUGU
rnacentral:lncRNA from 1 species